rnacentral:rRNA from 1 species
CGCGAAACCAGUCGAGCUACUGUUAUGCAUAUGUUAGUAUGGAGUAUGUGGCACAAUAAUCAAAGACGGAGCAGUAGGAGUGAUAGGCUAUCAAGUCUGGUGAUAUCUCGUUACCUUCGAACUGUAUUUAGUACAAUGUCAAUUCACUGGUGAUAAGGCCGGUGAAGGAUAUGUAUUUUGGUAAUUUCGAUUUGCAUAGUUUAACCACUAGUAACUUAACAUAAUAAUAUUAAAAUUGUAAGAUAAUAAAUGAUAGAAGGUACUAACUAAUUUCAUUGUUUAUUAAUAUUGUGUGUAUUAGUAAUUAAGGUAUCGUUGAUGAACUCGGCAAGAUUUCUUUCACCUGUUUAUCAAAAACACCGCUACUAGGAAACACUAGUGGUUAUUUCUGCUCAAUGUAUCAUAAAUAGCCGCGGUACCCUGACCGUGCAAAGGUAGCAUAAUCAUUUGGCUUAUAAUUGAAGUCUAGUAUGAACGAAGUCAUGGGGGAAAACUCUAUUAAUGAUAGUGAAUGAAUUUACUUAUGAGGUGCAAAGUCCUCUCGAUAAAUAAUAGACGAGAAGACCCUAGAAAUUUGUAAGAUACGUUAAAAUCAUUUUUUGUUGGGGCAACAUAGUAGCAUUUAACCUACAGUAGUGACAUGUCAUGUUUUAGGAAGACAAAAUUACUCUAGGGAUAACAGCGUAAUUCUACAGAGUUUGCGACCUCGAUGUUGGACUAGGAAGCAAUCGCUUAGGA